UACUCAUAACAAAAAAUUUUUGGAAUAGUACUAUUAAUGAAAUUUAACGGAUUUGGCGGCAAGAUAGCCACUUAGAGGAACCUGCCCUGUAAACGAUGAACCACGAUUAACCUUACUUUUAUUAGAAUCCAGUUUGUAUACCGCUGUUGUCAGUUAGUUUCUUUAGAAAACUUUCGUACAUGAAAAGUUCAAGGACUUCAAGUAAAGGUGCAGCUUAUGUAAAAGAUAGAGGUGGGUUACAAUUAAAAGAAUAAUAUGGAUAAAGUAGAGAAGAAACUUUUGAAGGUGGAUUUAAUAGUAAAGUUUAAAAAGACUUGAUUAGAGCUCUAUCUUGUGUACACACCGCCCGUCGCUCGCGGGAAAA
rnacentral:rRNA from 1 species